rnacentral:rRNA from 1 species
GAUGAACGCUAGCUACAGGCUUAACACAUGCAAGUCGAGGGCAGCACAGUGUAGCAAUACAUGGGUGGCGACCGGCGCACGGGUGCGUAACGCGUAUCCAACCUUCCCGUUACUCUUGGAUAGCCUUCCGAAAAGGGGAGAUUAAUACAGGAUGGAGUUCAAAUUCCGCAUGUUAUUUGAACUAAAGAUUUAUCGGUAACGGAUGGGGAUGCGUGACAUUAGAUAGUAGGCGGGGUAACGGCCCACCUAGUCUACGAUGUCUAGGGGUUCUGAGAGGAAGGUCCCCCACACUGGAACUGAGACACGGUCCAGACUCCUACGGGAGGCAGCAGUGAGGAAUAUUGGUCAAUGGUCGGAAGACUGAACCAGCCAAGUAGCGUGAAGGAUGAAGGUUCUAUGGAUUGUAAACUUCUUUUAUACGGGAAUAAAACACCUUACGUGUAGGGUCUUGUAUGUACCGUAUGAAUAAGCAUCGGCUAACUCCGUG